GUUUUCUCUCUCUCUUGCUUCUUACACUCUUGCUCCUGAAGAUGUAAGCAAUAAAGUUUUGCCGC
rnacentral:misc_RNA from 1 species